UAAGGAAUCUUCCGCAAUGGACGAAAGUCUGACGGAGCAACGCCGCGUGCAGGAUGACGGCCUUCGGGUUGUAAACUGCUUUUAUUUGGGAAGAUUGUGACGGUACCAAAUGAAUAAGGACCGGCUAACUACGUGCCAGCAGCCGCGGUAAUACGUAGGGUCCAAGCGUUAUCCGGAAUCACUGGGCGUAAAGCGUGCGUAGGUGGGUGCUUAAGUGCAAUGCGAAAUCCUGUGGCUCAACCAUAUGGACUGUAUUGCAUACUGGGUACCUAGAGGACAUGAGAGGCAAGUGGAAUUACCGGUGUAGCAGUGAAAUGCGUAGAGAUCGGUAGGAACACCAAUGGCGAUGGCAGCUUGCUGGCAUGUAUCUGACGCUAAGGCACGAAAGCGUGGGGAGCGAACAG
rnacentral:rRNA from 1 species